AGCCAAUAUUAUUACUGAUCGAGAUUCAAGAAGGUUUUGAGGAUUUGGUUUUAUUAGUUAUACAUCAACUGAUGCAGCUAAUAGCGCUCUCUGUUUCCCUGCAUAAAACCCUAAAUCAAAGAGACGAACUCUCAUCCAGAUCUGGAUCAAGAUGUAUUUACAUAUAUUUAUGAGAUUUUGAAAUCCUUAUUAUUGGAAUUUUUUGAUCGAUUGUAGCAUCAGUGGUCGUAUUCUGACAAAAGGCUUCCGGCUACAAAUGGCAGCUCCCGAUGCAUAAAGGCAGUAUUGAGUGUCUGUUUAAUGGUGGAAAUGGAGAAUCUGGCAACCCAGACAGCAAAGCCGACUUAUUUAGGGACCAACUACGUUAAUCCAAUAAGCACGGUUAUCAUGUUCUUUGUUCCAAUUUGCUAGAUCCAGAGUUUAAAUAGUGGUGAUAUUUAUUAUUCUGGUGUUUAUAGGCGUUGGUGUUGACUGGAGGCGGUAGAGGCGUUGCUAUUGACUGGAGGCAUUGGAUCUUGAGUUGGAGUAUUCUUAAUUAUGUUCAUGGUGUGUGAUUCGUGUAGUUCGUGUGUUAUGUAGGUGGGUUUUGCUACAAUAAGUUUAAGAUGAAAACCCCAUAAAUAUUGGUCGAGGGCAUUUAAUCAUGGUUCUUAGGGUUUCGGCAUCAUUGCUGGUCAUGCAACUUCAACCGAUCGAAGCUGGUUAUUGAUUUCAGUCAUUGGGGGAGUUAUCAUGUGUAAAGUUUUAAGUAUUUUCUUCUCAUAUCAAAAACUAGUUCAUUUAUGUGGCUGAAAUUCAUUUAUGCAUACUCAAAUGACCACAACCUUAAUAUUAUAUAGGGAUGAGCAUUUGUUACUUGGUACCGGCAUCGAAUUUCCCGUACCAAUUUUUUUUGGUACUGAAUCGGUACCCACAUUUUGGCAUUUUCCGUUCGGUACCGGUAUUUUACCGGAAUUUACCCUUAAAUACCAAUACCGUACCGAACAUUUUCGGUAUCGGUAUCCAUAUUUGGCGAAAUUCGGUACCAGUGGGAAAUUCGGUACCGGUACCAAGCUCAUCUCUACUAUUAGAUGGUUCAGAUUAUAUGAAUAGUUGAAUACAAUGCAAUUUCUUAUUUUGUAUUAUAUAUUAUUCUAUAAUAUCAACCAACUGUUGGGUUUCUUCCUCUUUUGCAUAAUGUUGAUUAAGAUAAGAUAGUUUCUAUUGUGUCUAACUAUAUUAACCAUAUAAAAACUUUAGUUCUCUUAGUAUUAAACUAAAUAUAUACUGCACCAGCUUGAUUUCUUUACUUUCCAAUGCAAAUUGAUGAAUAUAAGAUUAAUGAUAGUUGAUUGAUUUAAUUUGUUUCAAAUCAAAUUGUCUAUAUUUUAAGGUUAAUGCGAGUAUUGUUUGAUUUCCCAUGUAUGCUUAGUCUAUGGUUAUUGUUUUUAACCAGAGCCCUAAUUUGAUUUUUUUUAGUUUCAUGUGCAGAGUGAUGAAUUUGAUUUGAUUUAAGUGCAUUCUUUGUUUAUUUGAAGAACAUCAACUUCUCCAAGCACACAAGGAACCUUUCUCUGGAAAGUCAAACUAUAUUGUUAUCAGGGCCCUCAUGUAAACUAAUUUUUUUUGCAACACUUAAACAGAUCUUGCCGGCAUCAUCUAAUGUUUUUUGGUCACUUUGUGUUUACGGAACUCUACCAGCAAAUGCUUGCCAAAGCUUUGGCUCAUUACUUUAAAGCCAAGUUGUUACUGCAAGAUGUCACUGAUUUUUCACUCAAGGUCCAAUAUGGAGCAUCCUAUAAGCUCAGGUAGUUUUAAUGUAUGUGAUGGUCCCACCAACUUGGGUCAGUUACUAAUUAAACGUACAGGUAAAUACAUAAGCUACCUCCACCAAUUCGAUUACUUACCAAAUGGGUCGGGUUACAGUUACAGGUCAAAAAUACAUAAUCUUAGUACAUGUCGAAGUCUGUGUCUUUUGCGGAAGUCUUUGUGUCGGUUUCUUUCUAGCUAUAUUCAACAACACCGCUUGCAACUGUUGGCAAAUUUGACCCAUAUAGUUUAAGUUGAUUUAGGUUUAUCCUUAUAUGGUCAGUUCGUAGAA